UCCAUCGUGAGGUGGAAUCUAAAGGAAGCCGUAAGCAAAGUCCUGAACCGACGAACAGAAACCGCAUAUAAGGCUGAAUCAGGGUGGACGAGUUUGCUUAAUAAAACAAAGUCCAAUACUACCCGAACCCUGUACAGUAAAUGCGGCGGUUACAUGGGAUGAAGGUUGUUGUU
rfam:Dehalobacter sp. CF, complete genome.